CUUUCUUAUGACUACUUGCCUCAAAAUAAAGAAAUGCUUCAACUUUGAUGACCCAGUUCUCACUUACUCACUGCACGCUUAAAGUGAGCAAUAUAAAGUAAAUAAGAUAAAGACCGAUGCAAAUGAGUACAUACAUAAAUAUUUUUCAGUGUAGAAUUUUUCAGCAAAUAUAAUAAUUUUGAGCUUCCAAUAGGAUAAUUUCAUAUUUAAGACCCAGCAAUGCUGGGGAUCAAGCCACCCUGGAGGACGGUGGGGGUGUUCCCCCUGCUGCUGCUUCUCAAGUACACUGGAGACAGAGUGUUUGAGAGUGGUACCAUUGGAACAACUUCACUGGCUAGUUUCUGGGUUUGGCACAGAUACAUGGGAGUGAGAAUCAUAUCAUAGAAUCAUAGAGAAGUAAGCCUGAAGGGACCUCCAGAGAUCAUCUGGUUCAACCACCUGCCUGAGGCAGGAUCAUCUAAAACAUCCUAUACAAAUCCAUUGUCUAAUUUAUUAGCAUAACUAUACAGUCAACCCUGACACAACCACAAGACAUGCCACAGGUAAAGUAGGGGGGACAUGGUGGUCAAUGCCCUGCUACUGCAAAGGUUGUUAAAAUGUGCUUGAGAGAGCUAAGGAAGAGGGCCAUGCCCCCUGCUGAAAGCAAAAAUCUCCACGGUCAGUGGCUAUGCAAAACAUGCAAGAGUGAAGAUGCGGUGUAGAUAUAGCUUAAGAAUACUGUCCACACUUUCUCGUGUGAUGUGCAAGCAAAACCUGCAUUGCAUGUGUUCUAUAUCACGGUCAUUUGUAACAUGCUGGUACUGCAUCCCUUCAUCAGGGAGUUGUUUCAGUGUAACAGGAGACCACCUGUGGCCCCUGUUCCAAGGGCUAGGAGAGAAGGGAAGCAUACCUACAGGAGGUGAGCCUGCAUCGCUUCGUUACGGCCUGGUGAUGUCAGAUGCCAUAAGCGGGGAGUCCAGAGAUGCAGGUGUCCUCCACUGGAGCUGAUGAUGAUUGGCUGCCAACCCAGAAAGACUUGUUGAAGAGGCAGUCAGCACAUAGUGGGCAAGUGGGGAAGACAGCAGCGAGAACAGUGGACUCCGGGAAGGCCCCGUCUACAUUCAGACUGAAAGACUGUAUUCCUGUUUACAUCUUGGCUCACUGCAGGUAGCCUUCACUGUGACACCAGGCUCGUAAGAGGUGGUGAAGGACAAAGAAGCUGACCUGCGGGUGAAGGUCAUUGAAGGAGGACAGAACAUUGAUAAGAUACUACUUCCUCAGCAGUAAUAAUGGUAAUUAGAGAUCUGACUUAGAGCCACAUGUACCUGCAGUGUGGGUUUCCCUAGUUCUCUAAUCCACACUGCCUGCUCUCUGAACUGGACAUGAAUGUAAUAAAAUAUAUUAAUA